UCUACGGGUGACUGCAGUGGGGGAUAUUGCACAAUGGGGGAAACCCUGAUGCAGCGACGCCGCGUGUGGGAAGACGGUCCUCUGGAUUGUAAACCACUGUCCCCAGGGACGAAAAUGACGGUACCUGGGGAGGAAGCUCCGCCUAACAACGUGCCAGCAGCAGCGGUAAUACGUAGGGGGCGAGCGUUGUCCGGAAUUACUGGGUGUAAGGGGAGGGUAGGCGGGGAUGCAAGUUGGAGGUAAAAACUACCGGCUAAACUGGUAGUCGCACUUAAAACUGCAGCUCUUGAGUGAAGUAGAGGCAGGCGGAAUUCCUAGUGUAGCGGUGAAAUGCGUAGAUAUUAGGAGGAACACCAGUGGCGAAGGCGGCCUGCUGGGCUUUUACUGACGCUGAGGCUCGAAAGUGUGGGGAGCAAACAGGAUUAGAUACCCCAGUAGUC
rnacentral:rRNA from 1 species